rnacentral:misc_RNA from 1 species
GAUGAAGAACGCAGCGAAAUGCGAUAAGUAAUGUGAAUUGCAGAAUUCAGUGAAUCAUCGAAUCUUUGAACGCAACUUGCGCCUUCUGGUAUUCCGGAGGGCAUGCCUGUUUGAGUGUCAUGUAGACUCAAUCCCUCGGGUUUCUGAGGAGGUUGGAUUUGGGUGCUUGCCUUCUGGCUCGCCUUAAAGGACUUAGCAGGAUAGCACUGUAGUCGACGUAAUAAGUCUCGUCGGUGAAAGUGUGAUGUCUGCUUACAGAUUGCCCUUGGGCACUUUUGACUCUGACCUCAAAUCAGGUAGGACUACCCGCUGAACUUAAGCAUAUCAAUAAGCGGAGGA